UACGGGGGGAGCAAGCGUUGUUCGGAUUUACUGGGCGUAAAGGGCGCGUAGGCGGUCAGCACAAGUCAGUUGUGAAAUCUCCGGGCUUAACUCGGAAAGGUCAACUGAUACUGUGCGACUAGAGUGCAGAAGGGGCAACUGGAAUUCUCGGUGUAGCGGUGAAAUGCGUAGAUAUCUGGAGGAACACCGGUGGCGAAGGCGACAUCCUGGACCAAUACUGACGCUGAGGAGCGAAAGCCAGGGGAGCAAACGGG
rnacentral:rRNA from 1 species